UACGUAGGGAGCGAGCGUUGUCCGGAAUCAUUGGGCGUAAAGCGCGCGCAGGCGGUUUUUAAAGUCCGGUGUUUAAAUCCAAGGCUCAACCUUGGGUCGCACGGGAAACUGGGAAACUGGAGUGCAGGAGAGGGAAGCGGAAUUCCACGUGUAGCGGUGAAAUGCGUAGAGAUGUGGAGGAACACCAGUGGCGAAGGCGGCUUUCUGGCCUGUAACUGACGCUGAGGCGCGAAAGCGUGGGGAGCAAACAGG
rnacentral:rRNA from 1 species